UGUGCCAGGAAACGUGCUAAUUGCCAGGUGUGACACGUUAACCUCCUCUGGAGGAAGUGUGUGAGAAGCAGUUCAGCUGCUGGCUGAAGUGAAGUCACAGCCCUAGUAUGUGUAGGUGCUGUAUUACCAUUUGCAGAAGAAAGGAACCUGAUGCAAUCUUCAAGGUGCAGCAUGGCAAAGCUUUGUGAGAUGCUUUUUUCUGUGCUUUGCUUAAAAUGGUGGAAAACAAGUACUUGUUCAAGAAACAUUGGUGAUGCUUCUUACUGGAAUUGCUGAUGGAGUUAAGGCCUCAUCUUGCAAUAAAUGCUAUACAAAAUCCAUCAAGUGAAGCACAAGUAUAGCUUUGCUAUGCUAUUACAGAGCAAGUACUUUCAAAAGCAUCCAUUGGAGGACACUAGCACCCAACAAAUUACAGGUAAUACAGUGAUUCUAAAAACAUAUAUGAAAAAUAAAAUUAUUUCCACAUUUCUCUUUCAAAGAAGAAAAGUGAAAGUAGAACACUGUUUUGUUUACAUAUCAGAGCCUGAAAACUGUUUAUUACCUGACUUUCUUUUUUCUAUGUCAUGUCUUCUAAACCUUUGUUACUGCUUUGCUUUUGUUUCUGGAACUGAUGGGAGCUACUCGUUCUCUAGUUGUUUGUAUUACUUUGUGUUCUAAUUUUAAGCGUUAUCCAGAUGGGCUUGAGUUUCCAGCUUCCUUGCUCUAUUUUUUUAAUGUAUAUUUUCAUUUUUUUAAUCACUUGGAAGCAUUAUAUUAGGUUUUGUAUAAAAUAUCUUAAACAGUUACUAUCCUUGCAUCUGCUUGUUUAUAUCUCUCAGCAAAAGUUUAAUGAGUGGCCAGCCACUAGUAAUACACCUGAGUUCUAACUGAAAUAAAUGAGACAGUGCUGGAUUACAUGUCUUUGACUCAAUAUGCUUUUCUGUGAAUGAAAACAAGUCUUAAGGGUUUGAUUGAAUGUAAGACAAAUAAAAUGUCAUCUGCUCUCUUAGUGACAGCCUUCCAGUCUUUUCUGAUCACUUCUAGGGCGCUCAAAAUGGCAGCUGUUAAAUGAUUUUCCUCCUCUGCCGUUCAGAGGGUGGAGGUAGAAGAUAAAUGUGUUGUGUGAAAACUGUUUUUUUUUUUUUUAAAUCUUUUUUUUAGCUUGAGUGUUCUUUACAGCUCUGCCCAUUUCUGCCAUUUUUAUUAUUCACACCUGUGGAGAAAACUGAGGUUUAGACUACAGCUUCCAUGCCAGUCCAUCUUCUCAAUUUGAACAAAUUUUAACUCUGUUCUUGAAAAUCACUGGUAGCAGGAUGUGAAAUCUUGAGAUUUUUUUUCUUGCACCUUUCCCCUAAACAUUAUUAUUUAUGUCUUGCUUCGUAUAGGAAUUCCUUGUUGAGGAUAUUUUGAAAUACUAAUGCAUAAAUAAAGGUUCAGUGAGGGGUUGUAGAAGAAAGAUAGGAGUUGUGCACAGGAUAGCAUAUGCUAUCUGGUCUCACUACUCUCAUAACUUUGUGGUCUAUUUGCUGUCAUGCUUUUGUUUUCUUGUUUUGAGUAAAGCUAGCUAGUGUUUCCAUUUUUAUAGUCAUUUCAUUAAAUUGUGCGUGAAGGAUUUAUCUGGUGGUUUAUAAUGUAAUUGUAGUUUCCAAAGAGGAAGAUAUUAUAUUAAAUACUACCUAUGAAUAAUUCAGUUGAACUGGACUCGUUGCUCCUUAGUUUUACAUGUGGUCACGGUUUAGAGUGAUAAGUAUGUUUACGCUUCAGUGACCUUUAUACAACUGUACAUUUAUUUCCUAGUUUAGCUUAAAGGGCAAGCUAAAUCUUUGCAAAGUUCACAAAUCCUUGUAGGUACACACAUAAGGAAAACAUGAUCACUCAUGACAUUUCCAUCUUUUUGCACAAAAAUUUAACUGUGAAUCACAAACUUCAGUAUUUUGUCCUUCCAUUUCUCUGUUACACCGCAUGCAGAAUCUACCUCUCUGCUUAUGCUUGUGUGCAAAACACACCUGCUGAUUUUGUUUCAAAUUAUAACAUAAUGGUGAAAUUAUGGUAGGUGGAUAUUCUGUUUAGAAAGUGGCUUCUCCUGAUGCCGACUUUAGACAUCAAAGUGUUUAAUAUUAGAUAGGAUCAGAAAACAAGUCUGUUAAAUAAGGACUGGUACUGUUUAAUAAAAGCCAUUGUUGCUAUUUAAUUCUAGGGAGUGCCAUCUUCUGUAAUCUUACAUAGCUGCCUGUAGGGAAAACCAUUUGUCAGGAACAACUUUGAGCUAUUUUUGCUGUGCAGAGGAGAAAGGUGAAUGGACAGCCUUUGUGAUUUUUUUUUUUUUCAGCUUGCACAUGUGCAGGAGCAAAAUCCCUAAGAUUUAACCUAUAGUUCUGCCCAUAAGGCAGACAGCUCCCUUGCUAAUCACAUCAAGUAUUGUCUUUCCCCUCUGAUUGCUUUGCUGGCUUCCUUGGCUGUAAGUGCUGUUUAUCAUGGUUUAUAAAGCUCAGCCUUGUAUUUAAGGGUAAAUUUAACACUUAGGAAGAAUUUUGGAUUGAAUAAUACCAAACUGAAGCUUAAAGAAUCUGAAAGAAUUAUGUUAGUGCUUAGACAUCCCUGUAAGUUUUUCUAAUUUUUGAUAUCUGAGGUAAAGGAACACAGCAUGUUUUCAAGUAUACGUGACUGCUUCCUUCAAGGAGUUACUUUGACAAUUAAAGCCAAUGUUGCUUAAUACCAUUUUUUUUUUUUUAAUGGCUACCUCUACUUCAGUUCCUGCUCAUCUGCAGUUCAUCAAAUCUGCAAAGUCUUUUGUACUUUAGAGUUCACAGAUGGAAUUGAAUUCUGCUUUUACGUCAGUGAUAAAUUGCUAAUGAAUCCUACAUAGGCAGUCUGAAGAGAAAUGGCGACCAUCUUAGACUUUCCACUUCUAGGCAUGAAUAUUAAUAUUCAGUAUGAUCAAGGAUUUCAGUUAAAGACUAUUUGAUUUUAGUUUGUCUGAAAACUGUCCCUAUAUUUGUGUUCAAUAUUGUCAUUGGUUUGAAUCUUUUCUUAACUAGAUUAUAUGCUGCUCUCAAAUUUCUCCUGCUUAUGAGCCACGGGUUCCUUACACAAAUGCUUUAUUAAAAACAGAUGUCAUUAAAUCUAACAGAAGAGACUUACUGUCACUUGCAAAAUAUCAGGUGGGUUACCAGAUCUAGGCUUGUUACUCUAGGACAAUAAAUUGGAGGACAAUAGAUAGGAGCCUGCAUACAUAAGACAGGAGUUUUGUUUCAUUGUAGCUUUUAACAAAUUACAGAAGUCACACAUUUAAAGGUAUCCUUGGAAAACUAGAGUGUAGUUUGAGCACGUAGAAUGAAUUAGCUAUCUGAGCUUUAUCUGUGGGCUCUCAAAUAAUUUCCAUCAAGCUUUGCUCUGGGGAAGGGAUUCCCUGCCACCCAGCCCUGAGCUUUGGGUAGUGUCUCCGUGAUGGAGCUGGCUGCAGUCUGUGAACUCUCAGUGUAAAAACUUGCUGAUUCUAGGUUAGGGUUUAGGCAUGUUAGAUUACAUAACUGCAUUUGGGCAAAGCCUGGGGACUGACAUAAUGCCAGCAACAUGAGGUGACUCUGAGUAAAUCAAGGUAAUACUCACAGUCAGGUACCAAAGAAGUGUGCCACAGGGGAAUGUAGCAUAAAGGACUUCCUGCCCUCUGAGCACAGCGUAGAGAGUUUUACCAUUUUAAUGUUGCUCUUUGUGAUUUGAUGUAUUAGAGAUUCACUUUGACAGGGCUAUCGGAUAAGAUCACAUCACUUCAGUGAUAUUGGAAGCUAAGAGCUUUAUUUUUCUGUGGCUGUCAUUUCCGAAGAGAGACAAAGCAGAAGUUAACUUCUGUUUAUCUUUUAUUUCUUUAUCCUUUUAAAAUACAAUAGUGCUCUCAAAUAUUAUUCCACAGAUCUAUUUUAGAAAAAUGGAUCUCUUUGAGCUUAUUUUUCUCUGUAAAGAAAAUCUGUGUAAAGUAAUAAAAUCUUCAUAAUUUCAUGUUGAAAUAUGUAAGGUAAGGAGAAAAACAUUGUGAAACUGAGACAGUAAUAUCACUCCAUAUUUGCUACGUAUGUGGUUUCUAUUUUAUACUGGUACAAACACACCCUUAGUCAAUCAGAUAGUAACAGCUGCGAACUGUAUAAAAAACCAAACCAAAACAAAAAACCCGCAAAGGAAACAGCCCCAAACACACAGAAACACUCUCAGGUAGAUUUUCCUAUUUUUUACUAAUUCUUCAAGAAUGACAAGUUAAUACAUCCAAUCCAUACUCAAAAAAGCCAUGUGUUCACAUGAAAUUAGAAGUAGUAUUUUUCUGCCUAAACAUGCCGAGUGGAAUUCUGAGAUUUUGGAUUUGCAGAAGCAGCCUCACAUGAGGGGAGGGCAAGGAGACAAAGUUUAUAAGAUGUUCUAGAACAAGUAAAGGACAGAGCUCCAGCUUGUGAAAACACAUUCUGUUCUGAUUGGGCAUUAAGUCAAUUUUAAUGGUCC
rnacentral:lncRNA from 1 species